rnacentral:rRNA from 1 species
UACGUAGGGGGCAAGCGUUGUCCGGAUUUACUGGGCGUAAAGAGCGUGUAGGCGGCCAAGCAGGUCCGUUGUGAAAACUGGAGGCUUAACCUCCAGACGUCGACGGAAACCGCGUGGCUAGAGUCCGGAAGAGGAGAGUGGAAUUCCUGGUGUAGCGGUGAAAUGCGCAGAUAUCAGGAGGAACACCGGUGGCGAAGGCGGCCCUCUGGACGGUGACUGACGCUGAGACGCGAAAGCGUGGGGGAGCAAACAGG